CCUGGUUCAAUUCUCUCCAACCAAAAUGCUGGGCAUGGUGAUGUGCACCUGUAAUCUCAGUGACUUGGGAGGCUGAGGCAGGAGGAU
rnacentral:miRNA from 1 species